rnacentral:rRNA from 1 species
ACAGGAUUAGAUACCCUGGUAGUCCACGCCGUAAACGAUGUCGACUUGGAGGCUGUUUCCUUGAGAAGUGGCUUCCGGAGCUAACGCGUUAAGUCGACCGCCUGGGGAGUACGGCCGCAAGGUUAAAACUCAAAUGAAUUGACGGGGGCCCGCACAAGCGGUGGAGCAUGUGGUUUAAUUCGAUGCAACGCGAAGAACCUUACCUACUCUUGACAUCCACGGAAUUUGGCAGAGAUGCCUUAGUGCCUUCGGGAACCGUGAGACAGGUGCUGCAUGGCUGUCGUCAGCUCGUGUUGUGAAAUGUUGGGUUAAGUCCCGCAACGAGCGCAACCCUUAUCCUUUGUUGCCAGCGAUUCGGUCGGGAACUCAAAGGAGACUGCCGGUGAUAAACCGGAGGAAGGUGGGGAUGACGUCAAGUCAUCAUGGCCCUUACGAGUAGGGCUACACACGUGCUACAAUGGCGCAUACAAAGAGAAGCGACCUCGCGAGAGCAAGCGGACCUCAUAAAGUGCGUCGUAGUCCGGAUCGGAGUCUGCAACUCGACUCCGUGAAGUCGGAAUCGCUAGUAAUCGUGGAUCAGAAUGCCACGGUGAAUACGUUCCCGGGCCUUGUACACACCGCCCGUCACACCAUGGGAGUGGGUUGCAAAAGAAGUAGGUAGCUUAACCUUCGGGAGGGCGCUUACCACUUUGUGAUUCAUGACUGGGGUGAAGUCGUAACAAGGUAAC